rnacentral:rRNA from 1 species
GAUGAACGCUGGCGGCGUGCCUAAUACAUGCAAAUCGAGCGAACAGACGAGGAGCUUGCUCCUCUGACGUUAGCGGCGGACGGGCGAGUAACACGUGGAUAACCUACCUAUAAGACUGGGAUAACUUCGGGAAACCGGAGCUAAUACCGGAUAAUAUAUUGAACCGCAUGGUUCAAUAGUGAAAGACGGUUUUGCUGUCACUUAUAGAUGGAUCCGCGCCGCAUUAGCUAGUUGGUAAGGUAACGGCUUACCAAGGCAACGAUGCGUAGCCGACCUGAGAGGGUGAUCGGCCACACUGGAACUGAGACACGGUCCAGACUCCUACGGGAGGCAGCAGUAGGGAAUCUUCCGCAAUGGGCGAAAGCCUGACGGAGCAACGCCGCGUGAGUGAUGAAGGUCUUCGGAUCGUAAAACUCUGUUAUUAGGGAAGAACAAAUGUGUAAGUAACUAUGCACGUCUUGACGGUACCUAAUCAGAAAGCCACGGCUAACUACGUG